rnacentral:rRNA from 1 species
ACAUGCAUACACCAUAGUGUUAAUGCACAAGAUCCCAUUAGAAAUCUACAUUUAAGCACGUUCAUACUAGAGUAGUACUGGGAUGGGUGACCGCUUAGGAAGUCCUAGUGUUUUGCAUGCC